AUUACAAUUUUUACAACAUUAAUCACAAAUAUUAAAUUCCUUUAGGUGUCCUGGAAUUUGAAAUUGUUAUCAACGCACACUGUAAUCCUCAUGGGAGCGAGAAUAAUCGGAGGUGUGUCUCUAGGAGGAAGUUUCAUUGUUGUUCCGAUGUAUAUCAGAGAAAUAAGCCAAGAUAGUUUAAGGGGCACGCUGGUGUCCCUUGCCUUGUCGUCUCAGCAUGUCGGCGUACUGGCCAUGUACGCCAUGGGAAGCUACCUGAGUUAUAACUGUACCCUGUGGAUUGCUCUUUGCAUUUCCAUCGUUGCAAUAAGUUGUAUGCCUAUUGCACCAGAAUCUCCAGCGUUCCUUCUGAAAAUUGAAAAGUUUGAAGAAGCGAAACAAGUGCUAGCAAAUCUGAGAGGAUUGCAAAUUGAUGACGUUAUUAUACAAUACGAAAUAAACUAUCUUGAAAACGUAGAUUCAAAUCAUAAAACAGAUCACAAAAUGACAUUAGCUACGAUAUUCAGGAACAAAUCAUGGCGCCGUGGGUAUUUUCUAUGUCAAGUUUUAUUCUGCUGCAU